rnacentral:lncRNA from 1 species
AUAAUUUCACCUCUCUCUCUCUCUCUAAAAUGGACAGAUGGAUCCCUCCCCAAAAACCCUAGCAGCUCUUUCCCCUCUCAAAAAUAGACUCCGUUUCUACACAACAGACGCUAGCCUCAAGUCCUUGCCUCCCUCUCUAAUGGUUGUCACAACCAACAUAGGAAAUUUAGAAUUCAAAAAGAAGUCUGAAGAGAGAUGAUUUCAAAGCUCAACUUUUUCUCUUCAUGGGUUUUAUAAGUUGUAGAAGCUCGAUCUUGUGGUUGCUGUUGCUUGCUCUUGUUGAAUAUAUUCUGCUGAGUUUCAUCUUUAAAGAUUUCAUCUUUCAUCUGGUUUUUUAAAAUUUGUUCUCCAUUUUUGCUGCUAGGUACGUCAAGACUUCUCUGUAAUUCCUUUUAAUUAGGCAAAUGAGACUUGAUUCAAUAUUAUUGUCCAUGUUUAGUUUCAUGUGUUCAUUGUUUGACUUGCUAUAUCUGUUCAUUUGUCUUUUAAUGAUCGAAUGGAAUUGUCUGCAUUUGAUAAAAAUUGCAAUUGGAAUUAUUCAUUGUAACUAAUUUUAAUGAGGCAUAUUGAGGGUUGUAGGCAAAAUUUGUUCAUUGGAUUCUAAAUGAUCUGUUCUGUUUUUUGGUCAAUUAAGGUUGAGUAUACACAUUAGAUUUGUUGAAGUGAGCUAAGUGAUACUCAUGCAUUUAUGCUAGUAGUAAUGGACGAAUCUGGAAAUUGAAUACGCAAGGACUUUCAAAAUUACUAGUAUUUGUGAUUGCAAUUAUUGAGGAUAGUUAUUUUGAUGUACUAAUUCCAAAUUGAAAAUAAGGUUUAAACUUCCUAUAUGUUAGAAUAAUCAAAUUCUUCAUGUCAUGAAUAAUCAUCUGUUUCAUUAUGAGAUUAUAGCUGUAUAUGUUUACUUGUACAGUCCAAGUCUUACAUAGGUGGGCCUGGUGUUAUAAUUUGCCGAUUAAGUGCCCCAAAUUUAAGAAAUAAUCUCACCUAGUGAUAGUAGGGAAAAUUUUGGCCUUUUGCGGCUAAGCUUCAAACUAAUACGACCUUCUUCUUUAAACAUACUUGAGUUUAAACGAAGGUUUCUACUUUAAGUUAGCACUAAUGUAAUUAACACCUGAAUCUGUAGAAGCGGUCCAACUUUUGUCCAGUUCUGUAAUUAAUCUUAACAAUUCAAAAUAUAAAUUCAUGGCUGCCACAUUUAUCCAUAAUCCAUGAUUUUCACAAAUAACCCUAAAGUUAGGAAAAUGAAGUAACUCUUUGAAUAUCGUAGAAAUGCUUUUAGGCGCGCACCUAAUUUAUUAUCCUAAUUGUGUAUAGGUUCGCAUAACAUAAAUCAAAGUACGCGUUCGCUCGACUUUGUUCGAACAAUCUUAUAAUAAUUAAGUGUUAUUAAUUAUGUACACGUACGCGUGAUAUGAUUUUAGCACACCGAAUAAAUGGAUUUACGCACAUGUUAUCCGUUUCCAAUAUAAAUCCAUAAAUGCCAUUAUUAAAAGUGGCAAAAAGUAAACGUACAUAGGUUCUAAAAAUGAGUAAUUAAACAAUUUAAUCAAUCCAGGUAUGAUUAAAAGUGACCGUGCUAAAAUCACAGAAUUCGGAAAUAUCUAACACUUUCUCCCUGGUUAACAAAAUUCCUUACCGCGUCUUUUAGUUUCGCAGACAUUAAAACAGAGUCAAUUUCCUCAAUUUGAGAUUUAAAAUAAACCGGUGACUUGGGAUACCAAAAUAAAUAUUCUAAGUGGUGACUCUGAAUCAAAUAAAUAAUUUUAUUUCGAAUAAUGUCACUUUAAUUGAAAAAACUCCCUAUUCCUUCGGAAAACGGAGGUGUGACAGUUCUAGCCACUCCGCUGGAGAUCCAACCCAGAAUCUAUGGUUCAGGGUUUAGAAUUUGAGCUUGUAAUGUAAUCUGUACUUGAAUUUAUUGCUUGUUGAUAUUACUGUAUUUGUGGGCCUAAUGUGCUAAUUGCCACUCAUUUACCGCUUUGAUAUUUUUAACUGUAUUAAACUGUUUUCUUACGCCUCCUUUCUGAGUCUUCUAAAAAUAAGGUGCACAUGUAUGCGUGACCCACUUUUCUGUUAGAGGUCAUAUCAAAUAGAAAUGAGGUUGGAUCAACAACUAGGUCGGGUAGACUUUCGUUCUUCCGGUACAUUGCCCCCACCUCAGCUCGAGUUGUCCGCUUGGGUAAGCCAUUUUAGAAUGCACCCUUAGGUUUUUAAACCUAGAAUAAUAUAGCCUCAUGCCGGAUCUCUAAUAGGAACGUUUGUUUGCAUCACGUGCAUUUGACUUUGGGGACUCAACACAGAGGUUAGGUCCGUCUAGGAUAGGUGUACCCGAAAUAAAAGACUAUUCUGAUGCAUCCUACGUGCUAUUUGUGCAUUUAUUUUUUCUGGCUUUCAUGUUGAUCGGCUAGGAAAAUAAAAUCAAGAGAAAAAUGAAGAGCGAGGUAGGAGAGAAAUUUGUCCCUUCUGAAAAAUCCCGGUAUUUUGAAAAAGAUUCAAAAAUCUACCGAAAUUUAAAAAAAUGGAAAAAGAAUGUCAUUUCAAAAGGAGUCGAUAUCUUCAAGAAAAAAAGAACAUGCUUUCUUGCUGUGUCAAAAAUGACCAAACUAGGCGUGUCUGAUUCUCACCGGAUGUGAGAUACCCAGGCAAACCUCUUCGGUUCCGACACCAAUUGUUAAAAAUCCAAAAAUAUUUUUCUUUAGUUCCUUCUUUAGGAGUCCUUUCUUAGAAAAUGCCAAACAAAUAAUUUUUUUACACACAAAAAUAUUUUCUCUGUAGAAGUCAUUCUACCCUUUUUAGAAGUCUUUUUCCCAAAUAUUCAAAAUAAAAAAUUAAUUAGAAAUCCAUUUUUUUCUUUCUUCUUUAGAAGUCUUUCUUUCGAAAAUUUCAAAAAAAUAAAUAAAUAUCAAAACCAAAUAUCGAAAUAAAAGACUUUCUUUUGAGAAUUCCAAAUGAAAAAAAAUUAUAUUCCUUUCUAAACGCUUUCAUGGUCUGAGUGUUAUAAAAAAAGUAAAAAAAAAAGAGUUAGUUUAUUUACUCCACUCCUGAUUUUCCUGAACUGCGUAAUGAUCUGAUUCAUGCGGUGUCAUGAUACGUAGAUAAUUCCUAUCAGAUUCGAUCAUAGCCAUAAACAAAUUGAGGGAAUAAUAAAUAGAAAAAAAAGAGUGGAAAUGAAAGAAAAGAGGUACAAAGUGAAAAAGGGACAUUUAAAGGCCGGGAUGACACAUGCAUUCGUUAAAACACAUGGUAGAAACAUUUAACUGUUUAGGUACAUUGCAUCCCAACAUGCGAUCUCCUAUCUGUUAAAUGUCUCAAAACUAACAAGGUUGUUAACUGUGCAAAUUAGCCAGGUUCUGUUUAGGUGGUUGGUUUGUUAGUAUUUUGACUUCCCAUCCUUACGUCACAAGAUCUAAAUGAAAUGUUCCUAUGGCCUCCGAAAGUCAUCUACUAAUUAUCAAUCUUGAGGAUAGCCCAACACCGGUUGUUCCACAACCAUAAUCAGCAGCUACUAAAGAGAAUAGGAUAUUGCGUCUCCGCAUGUUGGAAAUGUGGGACGCUUGGUCUAAUGGUAGGGAACCACCAAGUGUAAUUCCUGGGUUCCCUGAGUUGAUCCCUAGGUCAAGUGAAGCUACCAACGUCCCUAUACCCAACCUAUUCAUCUCGUACAUAUACCCUCCCAUACCAUCUAAUGGUCUUGGCAUGCCUUCUAUGGUUUGCCCCCAAGUGCCAGAUUCAAGGGCACCGCCAACAGUGUUCUCUAUAGCACCAAUCUGCACCCAUAUCACAACCAACUAUACCACAGCCAUAUGUUGAGCCUCCAUGUUCACCUUUCAGGUUCCACAGUUCCGGCCAGAAAUAACAUAUGUGAACCCAUACUCAUUUACUCAACCACCGCAAUAUGGUUUCUUAUUGGAGCAAGAAAAGGUUGUCAAGAAUCUCGAGCAAGAGGACAUGGCUCGGAGGAUAAAAAGCCUGCAACAAAGUCUGAAAAACAUACAACAC